GCAUCUAUGGGUUAGUGGUAUACUGCUCGCUUGCCAAUUAAUGCGCCCCACUAGGGAUCGCGUAAUGAGCUUGCGGGCGACACGGGUUCGAUUCCCGUUGGAUGCA